AUGUCUCGCGACCCAUCCCCAGCCCAGCCCCUCCACGAUCCCCUCCCGGCGCCGGCCACCGUGGCCACGCCGGCCACCAUCACCCCGGGUCCUUGCCUGCUGCCGCCCCCUCCGGCUCGCUUGCCGCUGGACUUCAUCCCACAGGUGGUCCCUGCAGGUGCGUCGUCGUUGCCGGUGCAUGUUGAUGCCAGAUCCAGGUCGCCGAUCCGGUCGCCGCCGUCCCAUGACCGGUCCAUGCGCGAUGCGCCGGUGGAGAUGGUGUCGGAGACGCCGCCGGAGCUCCAGGGCGUCCAGCGGCGGGUCGCAUCCAUCAUCGUCGUCCCGUCGCCUCAAGUCCUCGGCGCCUCGUCCUCUUCCUGCAGCGGCUCUCCAGCGGAUGCGGGGCGUGAUGCAGAUGCGUCUGGCGAGGGAUGGCAGCUCGUGUGCUCCCGGCGUGGCCCGCGCCUCCCGCCUCCUCCUGCACCGGCCUCUGCUCGGCGCCCCCUCCCUGCCUGGCUGCACGGGAGAUGCUGCCGCUGCCUCGCCCCGGGUCAUCGUGCUUUGGUUUGCCGGGAUCCCUUCAGGUGCUCUCGCUGCCUCCAGCCCGGCCACCGUGCUCGCGGAUGUACCAACGCGUGGCGCCCGCUCAGCUCCCUGAAGAUCCUGCGGCGGCCUGCUACAGCUCCCCCCGUGGCUCCCCGGCCACCGACUCGUGGUUGGCCUGCUCCUCCGCAAGCUGAAAUGCCCACCUCGUCAGCAUGGCCUCAACUCGGAGGCGCUGUCCUGCGGAGGGAAGGUCUUGCUGCUACGGAUAUGCUGCACCAAACACCAACCAGCUCUAGUCAUGCGGCGACAGUUUGGCUUGCCGGGGCGCAGUCAGAUGCCUCUUGCAAGGCCGUGGCAGAGGCCCUUGCGUCCGCGAUCGGCGCCAACGUCGUGGAUAUCAGGGUCAUCCGCCAAUUUGUGGAUGCCACCGUCGAUCGUCAAUCUCCGUCCAGGACUAUGCUCCCCUCGCCGUCUUCAUCUGCAUCACGGCCCCCAGGAUUUGAAGCUUCUCCAGUGACGAGCUCUGCCCCACAGACGCCGCCCUUCAUUACCGAUGCUUGCCGCACACCUUGCAGUAUGGCGACUGGUGAUGUUUGUUCCCCUACUACCGAGACGGUCGCUGUCUUCGCUACGCCGCCCCAGACUCCUGGUCCAGCACCUACUCUGCAUGUCACCCCUACAAGUCAGGUGAUGGUUCAUGAAGAGCAGGAACUGCCGGCUGGGUUUGACACCCUGUUUCAGCCGCGUCAGGAGGCCAUCUUGGGCUCCCCUCCAACACUGCAAGGGAAACAACCAGGACGACGUAGAAAGACCAUGGCUGGGAUGUCCAUUGACCAGGAAGGGGCUGCUUUCUCGCUACGGCGCUCCAGUGCUAGGCUACGGGCAAGUGGGCGCGCGCGAAUCGUUCCAGUUCAGAAGGAAGCACAGAAGAUGGUGUGUCGCAGCUUAGGAAUCGUCAAAGAUGGGGAAGAUAUAACGGCGGCGGCUCUGGCUGAGCUUGAGGAGCAGUUCAAGGAAGAAAUCCCUGGCACGGUGUUGGCUGCACUACGUGCCCUCUUCAAGCUCGACGAUGCCCAGGCCAUGGCUGUCGAAGAUGCCAUAAUUGCACAGGGAGGUGCCAAUGGUCUUGAUCAUGAAGAAGAGGUGGCAGCUACUGCUACUUAA
rnacentral:rRNA from 1 species